UUUUACAAUGAAGAGUUUGAUCCUGGCUCAGGAUGAACGCUAGCUACAGGCUUAACACAUGCAAGUCGAGGGGCAGCAUGGUCUUAGCUUGCUAAGGCCGAUGGCGACCGGCGCACGGGUGAGUAACACGUAUCCAACCUGCCGUCUACUCUUGGACAGCCUUCUGAAAGGAAGAUUAAUACAAGAUGGCAUCAUGAGUCCGCAUGUUCACAUGAUUAAAGGUAUUCCGGUAGACGAUGGGGAUGCGUUCCAUUAGAUAGUAGGCGGGGUAACGGCCCACCUAGUCUUCGAUGGAUAGGGGUUCUGAGAGGAAGGUCCCCCACAUUGGAACUGAGACACGGUCCAAACUCCUACGGGAGGCAGCAGUGAGGAAUAUUGGUCAAUGGGCGAGAGCCUGAACCAGCCAAGUAGCGUGAAGGAUGACUGCCCUAUGGGUUGUAAACUUCUUUUAUAAAGGAAUAAAGUCGGGUAUGCAUACCCGUUUGCAUGUACUUUAUGAAUAAGGAUCGGCUAACUCCGUGCCAGCAGCCGCGGUAAUACGGAGGAUCCGAGCGUUAUCCGGAUUUAUUGGGUUUAAAGGGAGCGUAGAUGGAUGUUUAAGUCAGUUGUGAAAGUUUGCGGCUCAACCGUAAAAUUGCAGUUGAUACUGGAUAUCUUGAGUGCAGUUGAGGCAGGCGGAAUUCGGGGUGUAGCGGUGAAAUGCUUAGAUAUCACGAAGAACUCCGAUUGCGAAGGCAGCCUGCUAAGCUGCAACUGACAUUGAGGCUCGAAAGUGUGGGUAUCAAACAGGAUUAGAUACCCUGGUAGUCCACACGGUAAACGAUGAAUACUCGCUGUUUGCGAUAUACUGCAAGCGGCCAAGCGAAAGCGUUAAGUAUUCCACCUGGGGAGUACGCCGGCAACGGUGAAACUCAAAGGAAUUGACGGGGGCCCGCACAAGCGGAGGAACAUGUGGUUUAAUUCGAUGAUACGCGAGGAACCUUACCCGGGCUUAAAUUGCAGAUGAAUUAGGGUGAAAGCCGUAAGCCGCAAGGCAUCUGUGAAGGUGCUGCAUGGUUGUCGUCAGCUCGUGCCGUGAGGUGUCGGCUUAAGUGCCAUAACGAGCGCAACCCUUGUUGUCAGUUACUAACAGGUUCCGCUGAGGACUCUGACAAGACUGCCAUCGUAAGAUGUGAGGAAGGUGGGGAUGACGUCAAAUCAGCACGGCCCUUACGUCCGGGGCUACACACGUGUUACAAUGGGGGGUACAGAGGGCCGCUACCACGCGAGUGGAUGCCAAUCCCCAAAACCUCUCUCAGUUCGGACUGGAGUCUGCAACCCGACUCCACGAAGCUGGAUUCGCUAGUAAUCGCGCAUCAGCCACGGCGCGGUGAAUACGUUCCCGGGCCUUGUACACACCGCCCGUCAAGCCAUGGGAGCCGGGGGUACCUGAAGUGCGUAACCGCGAGGAGCGCCCUAGGGUAAAACUGGUGACUGGGGCUAAGUCGUAACAAGGUAGCCGUACCGGAAGGUGCGGCUGGAACACCUCCUUUCU
rnacentral:rRNA from 1 species